rnacentral:rRNA from 1 species
GCAAGGGCGGGUGCUAUACUGCAGUCGAGCGAAUGGAUUGAGAGCUUGCUCUCAAGAAGUUAGCGGCGGACGGGUGAGUAACACGUGGGUAACCUGCCCAUAAGACUGGGAUAACUCCGGGAAACCGGGGCUAAUACCGGAUAACAUUUUGAACUGCAUGGAUCGAAAUUGAAAGGCGGCUUCGGCUGUCACUUAUGGAUGGACCCGCGUCGCAUUAGCUAGUUGGUGAGGUAACGGCUCACCAAGGCAACGAUGCGUAGCCGACCUGAGAGGGUGAUCGGCCACACUGAGACUGACACACGGCCCAGACUCCUACGGGAGGCAGCAGUAGGGAAUCUUCCGCAAUGGACGAAAGUCUGACGGAGCAACGCCGCGUGAGUGAUGAAGGCUUUCGGGUCGUAAAACUCUGUUGUUAGGGAAGAACAAGUGCUAGUUGAAUAAGCUGGCACCUUGACGGUACCUACCCAGAAAGCCACGGCUAACUACGUGCCAGCAGCCGCGGUAAUACGUAGGUGGCAAGCGUUAUCCGGAAUUAUUGGGCGUAAAGCGCGCGCAGGUGGUUUCUUAAGUCUGAUGUGAAAUCCCACGGCUCACCCGUGGAGGGUCUUUGGAAACUGGGAGACUUGAGUGCAGAAGAGGAAAGUGGAAUUCCAUGUGUAGCGGUGAAAUGCGUAAAGAUAUGGAGGAACACCAGUGGCGAAGGCGACUUUCUGGUCUGUAACUGACACUGAGGCGCGAAAGCGUGGGGAGCAAACAGGAUUAGAUACCCUGGUAGUCCACGCCGUAAACGAUGAGUGCUAACUGUUAAAGGGUUUCCGCCCUUUAUUGCUGAAGUUAACGCAUUAAUCACUCCGCCUGGGGAAUACGGCCGCAAGGCUGAAACUCAA